rnacentral:rRNA from 1 species
UGAUCAUGGCUCAGAUUGAACGCUGGCGGCAGGCCUAACACAUGCAAGUCGAGCGGUAACACAAGGGAGCUUGCUUCCUGAGGUGACGAGCGGCGGACGGGUGAGUAAUGCCUAGGGAUCUGCCCAGUCGAGGGGGAUAACAGUUGGAAACGACUGCUAAUACCGCAUACGCCCUACGGGGGAAAGGAGGGGACCUUCGGGCCUUCCGCGAUUGGAUGAACCUAGGUGGGAUUAGCUAGUUGGUGAGGUAAUGGCUCACCAAGGCGACGAUCCCUAGCUGUUCUGAGAGGAUGAUCAGCCACACUGGGACUGAGACACGGCCCAGACUCCUACGGGAGGCAGCAGUGGGGAAUAUUGCACAAUGGGGGAAACCCUGAUGCAGCCAUGCCGCGUGUGUGAAGAAGGCCUUCGGGUUGUAAAGCACUUUCAGUAGGGAGGAAAGGUAAUAGUUUAAUAAAAUAUUACUGUGACGUUACCUACAGAAGAAGGACCGGCUAACUCCGUGCC